rnacentral:pre_miRNA from 1 species
ACCCACAUGAGUUCCAAUAUCUUCUUCUCCUCUUUUUUUUCAAAUAUUUCUAAUUUGAAAAACAUUUUGGUGAAAAGCGGGACUCGCUAAUUCCUCAUAGUAUAAAAACUAGAAAAAAAUAGAGGAGAAGAAGAUAUUGGAACUCAUGUGGGC